rnacentral:misc_RNA from 1 species
UUUCCGUAGGUGAACCUGCGGAAGGAUCAUUACAGAGUUCAUGCCCUCACGGGUAGAUCUCCCACCCUUGAAUAUUUAAACCUUAGUUGCUUUGGCAGGCCGUGGAAACACCAUGGGCUCCGGCUUAUGCGUGCCUGCCAGAGGAAACAAACUCUGUUUUUAGUGAUGUCUGAGUACUAUAUAAUAGUUAGAACUUUCAACAACGGAUCUCUUGGUUCUG